AAUACCGCAUAAGACCACAGCACCGCAUGGCUGCAGGGGUAAAAACUCCGGUGGUACAGGAUGGACCCGCGUCUGAUUAGCUGGUUGGUGAGGUAACGGCUCGCCAAGGCGACGAUCAGUAGCCGGCUUGAGAGAGUGAACGGCCACAUUGGGACUGAGACACGGCCCAAACUCCUACGGGAGGCAGCAGUGGGGAAUAUUGCACAAUGGGGGGAACCCUGAUGCAGCGACGCCGCGUGAGUGAAGAAGUAUCUCGGUAUGUAAACUUCUAUCAGCAGGGAAGAUAGUGACGGUACCUGACUAAGAAGCCCCGGCUAACUACGUGCCAGCAGCCGCGGUAAUACGUAGGGGGCAAGCGUUAUCCGGAUUUACUGGGUGUAAAGGGAGCGUAGACGGACUGGCAAGUCUGAUGUGAAAGGCGGGGGCUCAACCCCCUGGACUGCAUUGGAAACUGUUAGUCUUGAGUGCCGGAGAGGUAAGCGGAAUUCCUAGUGUAGCGGUGAAAUGCGUAGAUAUUAGGAGGAACACCAGUGGCGAAGGCGG
rnacentral:rRNA from 1 species